GAUCCCUGCCUACCUGAGGCCUUCCAAAGAUUUGGCCCAAGCUUGUAACUCCCAAGUGACACACACGCUCUUGAUACUGCAUCUAAUGGAAGAAUACGUGUGAUUUACUUAAGACUGUUAUUCGAGUCUACCAGCAGUGAAUAUCUGUAAACUAUGAGAUGAGCCAAAGCCAUUCAGAAAGAAGCGGAAGAUAUUUACUUUGUCUUUGUGAAAACCAUCAGCUACUUGUUUGGGAAAAAAACGAGCUCAGAUUCUGAAGCUGCGUUGUAUAAUGGAAAAAAGCAUGAAAUAAACCCCCAUG